rnacentral:lncRNA from 1 species
UCUUAUACAAUUGUACAUGUCCCAAAUGGAACGGACGGUUCGGCUCUCAUCUGAUCCUAGCACGAUUUAACACGGCAUAAUAGAGGGCACUAUUAAUCUGAUAAAAGGAUCGCGCCACUAUAUGAGUAGAGAGAAUCCAACGAUAGAAAAAAAGUAUCGAACCGCAUUUAUGAAUCCAGUUCUAGGUGGUGUCACUCAUACCCAUGCUGACAGUGUACACCGAAUAUAUGGCCUAGACACAAACACGGUAUGGAACAUGCCAGACCAGACCAGACCCGUGCCGGUCCAGCAUCGGUGGUGUUCGAGUGCGAUGCGAGACCCCUGCCGCACUCCAAAUUUGGUCACGCCGACCGUCGUCCUCUCCGCUCUACCUGUUCAUUCUCUCUUCUGUUCCCUCCUCCCUCCCAGUCCCAGCUGGCAGCAGCACAGCAGACAGAGAGAGUGAGCUUUGCCGACACCACACUGCAUCCCAUUCCCUCGGCUGUCGCUGAUGGAUGAUAGAUAGAGCUGCGGAGGAGCAGGGUGAGGGGGAGGUGCUGCCGCCCACGGUGAUCAUCUCUAUGGCCGUGUAGAGGAGCACUGCAGCCGGAAGAGAUUAUUCAGACACACUCACACACACACACACACACACACACACACACACAGAGAGAGAGAGAGAGAGAGAGAGAGAGAGAGAGAGAGAGAGAGAGAGAGAGAGAGAGAGAGAGAGAGAGAGAGAGAGAGAGAGAGAGAGAGAAGGGAAGCAUGAAGCCAAGAACCGCGACACUGGCCGCCGGCCUCCUCCAGCUCGUCGCGCUUGCGGCGGUGGCGGAAGCCGACACCGACGCCGGCGACGGUAAAUGCAGUUUCAGCGGACCGCGCCCGCCCGCCUUCCCCAAAUGUAUUCUUGCAGCUAAGGUAUGACUGACCGGGUGCUCUGGUUCUCGCAGUUGCCGCCCUGGGGAACCUCUACAGCUCCUGGAACAGCCCGGCGCGCCUCGCCGGCUGGUCCGCCAGCGGCGGCGACCCCUGCGGCGCCGCGUGGACGGGCG